rnacentral:misc_RNA from 1 species
GAUGAAGAACGCAGCGAAAUGCGAUACGUAAUGUGAAUUGCAGAAUUCAGUGAAUCAUCGAGUCUUUGAACGCACAUUGCGCCCCCUGGUAUUCCGGGGGGCAUGUCUGUCCGAGCGUCAUUGCUGCCCUCAAGCCCGGCUUGUGUGUUGGGUCUCGUCCCCCUUCCCGGGGGGACGGGCCCGAAAGGCAGCGGCGGCACCGCGUCCGGUCCUCGAGCGUAUGGGGCUUUGUCACCCGCUCUGUAGGCCCGGCCGGCGCUUGCCGAUCAACCAAAACUUUUUUCCAGGUUGACCUCGGAUCAGGUAGGGAUACCCGCUGAACUUAAGCAUAUCAAUAAGCGGAGGA